GCAUUAUGUAGGAACGUAAUGUGCCGCGCGGCAAAAGUUUCCUCCUAAUGGAGGGUACCUUCACACAUCUUAACACCCCCACACCCCCCGGGAGACGCCCGCCUUUUGCCUCCCUGUCGACCGAGACCUGAGCCCCGCAAGGAUUUGGUUGUUUCGCGGGUAAAGCUGAGACCGCGUCCCCUCGCUGUCCUAUUUGGUUUUCUGGUGCCAUCAGUUAAGCCGAGAGCGUGUGCAUCGCUUCCCGCGUCAUCAUUUUUUUUGUAAAAGGCUUCUGAAUCUUUCAUUCUCCUCGAUGUCCCGUUGACGGGCUGGUUGUAUAGACGCCCGUGUAAAGAGAAACGUCUUCAUUCCCUAUGGAGACUGAAACAAACUCGCUAUUUCCUGUCUCUAGUUGCUUGGUUUGUCCUCAGUAUUAUUUGCCAACCAUUUUGUCAGUAGGUGUGACAUGUGGGUUUAUUUGAAGGAUAGGCUAAUUGUUAUGCCCCCGGAGGUCCAUUGUUAAUUAGAAGUUAUCUUGGGCAGCCCUCACAUGGUCACUGCUCUAAUUGGCAGUGAAAGCUGGGUACCACCUGGCCUAGCCUUUAACUCACCGGGUGCUCCGGGCAGAAAAAUAGAACAAAAGAACGGCCUGGGCGUUAAGUGAGUAUGGCCUCUUAAAAGGAAACUGACAUAGAGAGAGAGAGAGAGGUAGGAAACGAGGAGAGGAGACACGAUGUGUGCCGAUUACCGAUGUACCAAUUCUGCAAAAAUGGUGGUUUAUUUGAGGUUUUUUGAGCCGAACAAGUCUUUGGAAGCAGGCGUGAAUAAAAGAAAAAGGUUCAGAGAAAUAAGUGUUUAUCAUCACGCCUCUUUGUGUUCAGAUUUCUAAAACCUCUGGGAUGUUCGGUGGCGCCACAUCAAUUCUCCCCUCCGCCCGUUUGUUUACCUGGUGUCACGUGGGAAGGAAAUAGUGGCGGGCUCGUCUAUGCGCAGAAUUUUUUAAAAAGUCAUUUCGUGCUUUUUAUCAGCAUCUGUCAAUACGGGGUAUGAUGAUGGAUGAUGGGGGCAAUCAUGUCAACUCUAUUCUGCCAUUCACGAAUGUGAAAAUCGAUUCAAGCGGAACGUUUUUUUUUCUCCCCCUGAAAGAGAAUCCGGUCUGUUCUGCAGUGCAGUCAGAGGAAAGGCAGAGAUUUAAUCCAGGGACGGUGCAGCUGCUUUUCACGGGAGUAACCUGAACACGGUGAGAUUCUCCCACAACGUGCACCGGCUGAGGGCUCGCGCUGGGGGAAAGUCCACCCGGGGACCUCGGUGAAUCCGAGCUGGCCGGGCCCCCCCCCCGGGACCAUGGGAAUGUUUGCUUGUGUUAAGAAAGCGCAGACAGGUGCUCCGCGUACGGCACAAACAACCCUCUUAUCAACAGCGCCUGGCAUCGCUGUGCCCCGGAGGACAAAAGACCUUUGUCUCCCCACGCACACAAAGUCAAUGGGGUCCUUCUGUCCUGGCCCCCCCUCCGGCUUCUAAAGUUCAAACCAAUUCCCAAAUGCGUCCUCCGUUUGUUCUCCGAUCACAAUGCGGAGCGGAUUCAGGCAGUGUGCACCUCCAUGGGAGGAGUGCUUGUGCACACGUGUAACUCGGCAACGGCGACAAUAACUAGUGACCGACCCUCAAACUGAGAAAAUAUAUAGAACGACAGAGAGGCCACAAGGAAAGUCUGCCUCGUGCAGACUGACGAUAACAAACAGGCCUAUCGCAGCUGUAAUUGGAGACAGCAGAUUCAUUACUUUCAAUGAUGCUCCACUGCUCCACUACCAUCGUUAAUAACCGUUCAUUAAUUAAACAUAGGGUGGAAAAAGAGCAGCUCCGUUUGGCGAAAAAAGGACUUCUCAAUGACCGGAGCCGAGUGUGGCUUCAUUUUGCUCUGGAGGUCAUUCCAGAAAUAAUGAGGGGGGGAGAGAAAGGUAAAUACUCCUCUCUGCUUAACUGCCAGGGAGCUUACAAUACCUGAGACAAGCCAAGUAUGACAGUCAGCCACAUAACGAGCUGCUUAUUCUCACACAAGCAGGACGGAAGUGAAAAAGAGGCUGUUGGGGUUUUUUUCUCCCGAGUCGUUGCUCAUUGUGGCCUUCAAUUUAGCCUUUUUGCAGUAGUUUUAGGGGAAACUUCCCGAGCGUUGGGUCAUCUGGAGUUAAAGAGGUAACGUCACGUAUUGGCCUAUCGAUUUGUUACAUAGACAUGAAGUGUAGGGCAGCUUUGCCCUUUACUGACUUUUCGAUUACUCGGAACAAAUUAUUGAAACAGAAGCAGUAAGAUCUAAGUCUGUUUUAAGCAUCUACAAUCAGAGUUCCUCGGCGAAUGUUAUUCAGGCCCAAGGAUCGGCCCUGCAUCUCUCUAAUGCACGGAAAAUGAUCUAGCAUUAGAUAUUGAUUUUCUCAUUCCACAGGGGGGGAAAAAAAGGAUAUAACUUUUUUUUCCAGUGUUGAACUCGUCCAAAAACUCUUGUUUACGCAUUCACAGGGGGCUAUGAUGCUGAGAGUGUGUUAUUGCUCCAUACUACUACACUGGAUCCGUUUGAAUUCACUGCACGGUGUUUCUGUGUGUGCCUCAUCAGAAUGCACGUACGUCUUCAUCGGAGCACCACACACAUGCUAGUUGGCUUCCAUAAUGGUUAUGAAUAAUUACUGUCUUCAGUAAUUCCGUAAUCAGCGUUGGAGGUACAUCUGGCUGCCGUCUUUUGUGAAUACACCAUGAAUAUCGGAAGUCCGCAGGCUCUGUCUAAUUCUCUGCCUCUUAUUGCCUCGAAGGCUGAAAUGAAAACCAAUUAUAUCGAACCUGAUUUUUGUCUCUUUCAUUUUCUUUAGUAAACGUCAAAUCAAUGAUGAGCUAAAGCUAAAAACGACAAGGCGCUCAUUUUAAAAUCUGGUCUCGGUUGAUGGUUGCACAUCUGCGGUACUGACCGUUCAGGUGAUAGCAGAGUGCAAAGUCAGCAAUGUGUUACCAACGUGGCAAUAAUUUGCACCGAAAGGUUUUCAUUCUUCCGCAGGAGAUCGCUUGAGCCAAACUGCAGCAAUUGUAUCACAGCACGCAGCUGUUGAAUAAUACACACGCCUCUUUUUUUCAAUGCACAAAUUUCAGGAAUAUAAAUUGCUGUUGGGAAGGAAAGAAUAUUGUCGGAGCAUCUCUGGGAUAACCUCUUGUCUCAGCUGGUGGGUGGUUUGGCUUUGGUUCGCUGUCAGGCUGAAGGAUCGGGAUUCUUCUGUGACUUGAACAUUGUGUUUUUGGUCCAGAAGGCAGUUGCUUUUCCGUCCAAAUAUCCUGUUAUUCGGAGGCAGCGUUUCUUCCGCUCUCUCGUGUCCAUAUCCCCUGGCAAGCCUCGUAGCGCGAUACGGCACCGGCACCGCUGAAUGAAUAUACCAGGGACAUUCACAGUUAGUUAUCCACGUCUGGAGACAUUUCUCACCCCAAGCAUUCUGUUCUAGAAUAUGUAAUAUAGUCAUUAAUGUGUCAUCGAUUGAUUUGCCCCGGGCGUCGUUAGGCAUUGCGAGGUCUUCAUGAGGUGGUCCUUCUCUCCUCUUUACAGCUCAGGUUGUUGCAUGUGGCAUUUUGCCUCCUUGUCAAAAAUGUCUUCAUUUUUUCAUUACGCAGGGGACUCAGCCCCCCGGGCUGAACUGUAAAUUGCAUUUGUCCUGUACAUAAGCAUAAUAGUAAUAAUGAUACAGUGUAUAUCAAAACGCAACACUAUUAACUUUAUAACUUGAAAGCAAUAUUGGCUCCAUUUCAAAACCAUCCAGAAUCAUUUCCAGUCCACCUUCCUUCAUAAUUAACAGGAACUGGAUUUUCUUUUUUUUUGAGGAAUUUCGCCGCCGGACUGCACAGCCCAGAGACCAUGCAAACACACGGUGCGUACUGCGGCUGUUAAACAUCGCUGCUGGCCUCUUUGCUUCCAUGAUGAUCUGCUCUCUGCAGCCGUUCAUCUCAGACGGACCUCCUGAUCCGGCUGAGAAGCUGCUGCUGCUGCUGCUGCUGCUGCAUCACCUGCGGUGGUUGUUGUUGUUUUUCAAGCUGCGUUAACCUGAAUCUUUGUGGCACCAUCUUUGAGAUGUAUGGAGCCCUAGUUUUUAAUUGCAAAAUAUACAACCACAAAUGACAGCCUCAUUAAAGGUGUGCCACAAAUUACCAAUUAAAACUUAGAUAAAAUCAAAGAAGAGAUCGAAUGGGUUUGGAGGCACGUGAUUACACAUCAGUACCUGCAAGAAUAAAAGAGACUAAAAUGUUUCUGAUCAGACACCCGUAUAAUCCCAAUUAUUGAACCAUGGUAUUGUUUAUUCUAGAUGUACUACGUUAAAUAAAACAAAGUAUGAAGCCUCGGCUACCGGAAGAUGUAAAAAGUUAUGCUUUAUGUUUUACAUGGAUUUGCAUUUUCAUUCACACUGAGAUUCUAUAACCUUGUUUUGGGGUAUACGAUUGGGAAGCACUAUACAUUCUCAAAUACUGCAUUUAAUGUAUUUACCUCCCCUUGCUCAA
ensembl:lncRNA